rnacentral:rRNA from 1 species
UACGUAGGGAGCAAGCGUUGUUCGGAUUUACUGGGCGUAAAGGGCGCGUAGGCGGCAAUUCAAGUCAGCUGUGAAAUCUCCGGGCUUAACUCGGAACGGUCAGCUGAUACUGCUUUGCUAGAGUGCGGAAGGGGCAAUCGGAAUUCUCGGUGUAGCGGUGAAAUGCGUAGAUAUCGAGAGGAACACCUGAGGUGAAGACGGGUUGCUGGGCCGACACUGACGCUGACAGCGCGAAAGCCGGGGGAGCAAACGGG